rnacentral:lncRNA from 1 species
UUUUCUGACAUUUGAAAAGAUCUGAAGAUACGCCCCUUGGAUGCCUGCAGAGAAGCUCUGGGGCUUCAGUCAAUGACUCAGGGUAGCCACCGAACAUGAUGCUCGGGCAGUGGGUGCCACCUGGACUCCACUCUCCCCUCUCUCUGGGAUCAUAGAGUCCAAGGUGUUCUGUGGCCUCUCGGCCAAUCCCAGCAGCUCAGCGUGCAGAAGACCGAGGAGCCAUUGGUCAGUGUAGGAGGUGCCUGGAGUUUUGGAGAUGGGAUCCACAGGAAUUCAACACAACACGAAAUAAUCAACAAAUUCGGGGAAUGUUAAUCUGACCAUCACCAGUUACAAAUGAUGUUUCAUGCUACCUUCUAUUCCUGCCUUCAUAAAUCAAGCUCUAAAUCUCCAGGAAAAAAUGUGCUCAGGAUGGCCAGAGAAAUGUCCUUCCAACUGUGCAUGGAAAGGUAUGAUUUUGUGCAGCAGGUGAAGGACUGGUUAGAGUAAGUGUGUGCUGAGCUUUUGUGUUUGAAAGCGAGCCUGUGCACUUCUAACGAUUGGAAGGUUUCCUUGCCUUCUCCGAUCUUACACACAGCAAGGACAGCAAAGCCUUCCAGACCUGCCUGUGACAUGCACUGCACAUUCUAAAGAUGCCUAUGCAAUGGAAAACACCACUGUCUGCUCCAGCACAGCUGCCAUUCUUCCAUCUUAUCGACCUUAAUGCAACAACUCCUCACAGGCAGAGAUUUUAAAAUGUGUUCUUGGCAGAAGAGAGACUCAAAGAUGGGACAAAUGUGUCAUUUAAAUGCCUGUUAAAAUGGAAACAGACAUAGUAUAGUCAGAGGAUUGUGGCAGCUAAGAACAUAGUCUCUGGAGCAAAUCUGCAUGGGUGGCAAUGCCAAGCACAUGAGGUCCUAGUUGUAUGAACUUAGGAAAAGAAAAAGAGAACAUAUAUCCCCCUACCUUUUGAUUUCCAACAGUCUACUGAGAGGCCAAGAUUAUUUGCAGGGAAAGAAAAGGGGUCAAAAUGUUUUGCCAGUAACUCCCAAAUCAUCUACAGCCAAGGAGAAAAGUGUUUCAAGACAGAGGUGCUCAAUGGUAUCAAAUACUGCCAACAGACCAAGUAAUACAUGCAUUGAAGUGUCUACUGGAUCUAGCUAUAUGAAUUUUUAAUUUAGGACACUUAGGCCAUACUGAAGCAAGGUGACAAAAUGAAUAGCUACAAUGUCUCGUGAAUCUUGGGUUUCCAUUCACCCUGGUAUUCAAGAGAAAUUCUUGCAUCAUGGAAGUUGCAGUUGGAUAGGACUUUCUCAGCUGAACACUGUCAUCUGCCAGAGCUUCAGGCAAGAACCCAGAACAGAUGAAACCCCAGACAUGACAAAAUAAGCCAAAGAAUACCAGGCCAAGGUGUGAAAGGCCAGAUGAGAACAAGCAGCGUACACGAUUCUGUUGCCAACAGAUCUCCCCUAACAGUGUCGUGCACCAAAUUUCCACAGUGAAUGUCAGGAAAAAAUGGCAAUUGAGGUGGGUGGUCAAAAGAGAAGCACAGUCUAUGAUGAAGUCACCCCAGAGAAGUCCUUUUUCCGUUUUCUCCUGAGAAAUUACCAGAAGAAAUUAAAAUCCUUUUGAGUA